AAAAUUAGGCGCAACAAACAAACAAAAUCCAACUAAUAAAUAAAACCAAAAUUUAAGGGGAUGGGAAUUAUCAUACAAGCGAUGCCCAAAAUAAAAGAAACAACGCAAAAAUCAACCGAAUAAAAAAGGAAUAAGGAUAACAAAAACACGAUAAGAUAAAAAGGGUGCAGAAAUGUGAAACCAGGAGGUGCACACAAGUUUUGGUGUAGGCCCAAACCUUGUAUCCCAACCGGGGCAGCCAUGCCCUCCAUCACCGUCCCGUAUGCAAUGAGCAGCCAAGAAUCCCAAUCACAGAAGGUACAAUAUUCAAAAGAGCACGCUGUACAGCAGCCUUAGAGCCAUGGCCACGCUACUGAGAGUUGAGUAAAACGACCACGCACACAAUUAGAUCGUCCCUUUGUUUCUUCCAAAAUGUGAGAUCUCCUUUGGACUUUAGGAGAAGGAGGCGCGGUUCAACUCUGAGUGCAGCGCUUGAUGUUGGUGUUGGAGUUAGUGGAAAAUUGGAUGCAAAAAUGAGAGUGAGGGUGGAGGAAGAAGACACGACAGUGUCCGCCCUCCCAGAAAAAAAUAUUUUUUUCUCCCUUUUUAAGAGGAAAAAUGAUGAAUAAAGAUGGGUAAACGUGGUGAUUAAGGAAAUCUAAAAUGAAAUAAAUGGGAGAUAAAUUAAGGAAGGAAAAAUUUCAAUUCCAUGGAGGAUAGCCGUUUCGUGAAGAGUAAAAAAUGAAAAACUUUCAAAACAGAAUAAUAAAGUUUAAUCAAAUAAAAUUAAAUCACAUUAAUCAAAUCACAUCAACCAAUAAGAUAAAAUAAAAUUUAAUAAUAAAAAUCACAUAAAAUCUAAUAAAAUCACACGUUACCA
rnacentral:lncRNA from 1 species